CAUGCUGAUCUGAGCAAGAGAAAAUAGAGUUUCAAAGCUCACAACAAAUCUGACGGGUUGACAGAAAAAUCAUAACCAGUCAUUCAUCAUACCUGAAUUUCUUGAGUUAUACAGCUCCGAGGGAUCUCAAAUUUGGAUAUGUUGUAGUUCACAAGCUGAGGAACAACUUCAAUGAAGAAAGCAUGCUGAUCUGAGCAAGAGAAAAUAGAGUUUCAAAGCUCACAACAAAUCUGACGGGUUGACAGAAAAAAUCAUAACCAGUCAUUCAUCAUACCUGCAUUUCUUGAGUUAUACAGCUCCGAGGGAUCUCAAUUUUGGAUAUGUUGUAGUUCACAAGUUAAGGAACAACUUCGAUGAAGAAAGUAUGUUGAUCUGAGCAAGAGAAAAUGGAGUUUCGAAGCUCACAACAAGUCUGACAGGUUGACAGAAAAAUGAUGAACAGUCACUCA
rnacentral:lncRNA from 1 species